ensembl:lncRNA
AUCGAGAACGCCCACGAGCGCAACUGGCCCCAGGGGCUGGCCACGCUGGAGACGCGGCAGAUGAACCGGCGCUACUACGAGAACUACGUGGCCAAACGCAUCCCCGGCAAGCAGGCCGUGGUGGUGAUGGCCUGCGAGAACCAGCACAUGGGAGAGGACAUGGUGCUGGAGCCGGGGCUCGUCAUGAUCUUCGCUCACGGAGUGGAGGAGAUCUGAGAGGAACGAAACCUCGGGGGUGGGGGUUGGGGUUGUGAGUUUUUGGUCGUGGAGAUCUGAAAAAAAUCCAGCCUGGGACAGCAGGGGUUUUCUGGAGUUGGGUUUUUUGCUCAUGGAGUGGAAGAGAUCCAAAAAUAAUCCAGCCUGGCACAGCAGGGGUUUCCUGCAGUUGGAUUUUUUGGUCAUGGAGUGGAUCCAACCUUGGGACAGCAGGGGUUUCUUGGAGUUGGGUUUUUUGCUCAUGGAGUGGAUCCAACCUGGGACAGCAGGGGUUUCCUGGAGUUGGGAUAUUUGGGGUUGUGAUUUUUGCUCGUGGAGGAGAUGUGAAAAAAAUCCAACUCUGGGUGGCAGAGGUUUCCUGGACUUUGAGGGUUUGUGAUUUUCACUCAGAGCAGAUCUGAAAAAAUCCAGCUCCAGGAUGGCAGGGGUUUCCUGGAUUUGGGAUUUUUGGGGUUGGGAUUUUCCAGUCAUGGCAUGAAGAUCUGAGAAAAAUCCACCUCAGGAUGGUGGGGGUGUCCUGGAUUUGGGAUUUUUUGGGGUUGUGAUUUUUACUCAUGGCAUGGAGAUCCAAAAAUAAUCCAACUCUGGGGUGGUGGGACUCUUCCUGGAGUUGGGUUUUUGGGAUUGUGAUUUUUGCUCAUGGUGUGGAGGAGAUCUGAAAGCAAUCACUGGUUCCACCACCUCGGGAUGGUGGGGGUGUCCUGGACUUGGAUUUUUAGGGUUUGUGAUUUUCCCUCAUAGCAUGAAAAUCUGGAGAUCUGACCAAAAACCCUCCUCAGGACAGCAGGGCUUUCCUGGACUGGCAUUUUUGGGGUUCCAAACAGAGGGGGGCUGGGGGCUCCCCGCCCUGCCAGACCCCUCGGGGGUCCCCCAACCCCCAGCAAGCUCCAUCUCCUCACCCCCUCUGCAUUCCCACCUGGCCUGGUGUCCCCUGAUGGCACUGCCAGUGUCACCAACCCUGCAGUGAGGGGUCCUUGGCCUUGGGGACCCUCCUGUCCCCUCUCUUCGUGCAUGCCCCGUUCCCUGGAGCGUCUCCCACCUCCUCCCAGUCCGUGUUUGGCUCUGCUUUCUCCACUCUUGGUGUUAUUUUUCCAGACACUCAUGAUUGUGGUUCUGUAUUUUUAUUUUUAUUUCUUUUUGUACUUCAGUUUUUUUUUUUUUUUAACCUUUUCUUAUUUUUACUCUCCCUUUUUAUUUGAUUUUUCCAAGUAACCCUGGGCAGGCACCUCUGGCCUGGGUCCGUGGGACUCAUUGGGAAUUUAAUUUAAUUUAUUUGCAUUUAUUUUGUUGGUUUGUUUUUUUUUUAACCAUUGUUUCUCCUCCGGUGUCAGUCCCAGCAGAUCCGGUGGGAGGCAGGGAUUGAAGUGAUCAAUAAACAGAAUUCUGGUUGCUUUAUCCCCA